rnacentral:rRNA from 1 species
UGACAUUACCGAUAGAAAAAGCACCGGCUAACUCCGUGCCAGCAGCCGCGGUAAUACGGAGGGUGCAAGCGUUAAUCGGAAUUACUGGGCGUAAAGCGUGCGUAGGCGGCUGCUUAAGUCAGAUGUGAAAGCCCCGGGCUUAACCUGGGAACGGCAUUUGAUACUGGGCAGCUCGAGUUGAGUAGAGGAGAGGGGAAUUUCCGGUGUAGCGGUGAAAUGCGUAGAGAUCGGAAGGAACACCAGUGGCGAAGGCGCCUCUCUGGACUCAAACUGACGCUGAAGUACUGAAAGCGUGGGUAGCAAACAGGAUUAGAUACCCUGGUAGUCCACGCCGUAAACGAUGUCAACUAGCCGUUGGUCUUAUUCGUAAGAUUCGUGGCGCAGCUAACGCGAUAAGUUGACCGCCUGGGGAGUACGGCCGCAAGGUUAAAACUCAAAUGAAUUGACGG